rnacentral:rRNA from 1 species
UACGGGGGGAGCUAGCGUUGUUCGGAAUUACUGGGCGUAAAGCGCGCGUAGGCGGCUAUUCAAGUCAGGGGUGAAAGCCCGGAGCUCAACUCCGGAACUGCCUUUGAAACUAGAUAGCUAGAAUCUUGGAGAGGUCAGUGGAAUUCCGAGUGUAGAGGUGAAAUUCGUAGAUGUUCGGAAGAACACCAGUGGCGAAGGCGACUGACUGGACAUGUAUUGACGCUGAGGUGCGAAAGCGUGGGGAGCAAACAGG